rnacentral:tRNA from 1 species
GCCGGGAUGGUGGAAUUGGUAGACACGCGUGCCUUAGGAGCACGUGCCGUAAGGUGUGGAGGUUCGAGUCCUCUUCCCGGCACCA